UACGGGGGGAGCAAGCGUUGUUCGGAUUUACUGGGCGUAAAGGGCGCGUAGGCGGUCAACCCAAGUCAGUUGUGAAAUCUCCGGGCUUAACUCGGAAAGGUCAACUGAUACUGUGCGACUAGAGUGCGGAAGGGGCAACUGGAAUUCUUGGUGUAGCGGUGAAAUGCGUAGAUAUCAAGAGGAACACCUGCGGCGAAGGCGGGUUGCUGGGCCGACACUGACGCUGAGGCGCGAAAGCCAGGGGAGCGAACAGG
rnacentral:rRNA from 1 species